UACGGAGGAUCCGAGCGUUAUCCGGAUUUAUUGGGUUUAAAGGGUGCGUAGGCGGAAUAUCAAGUCAGCGGUAAAAUCGUGGAGCUCAACUCCAUCCAGCCGUUGAAACUGAUGAUCUUGAGUGGGCGAGAAGUAUGCGGAAUGCGCGGUGUAGCGGUGAAAUGCAUAGAUAUCGCGCAGAACUCCGAUUGCGAAGGCAGCGUACCGGCGCCACACUGACGCUGAGGCACGAAAGCGUGGGGAUCGAACAGG
rnacentral:rRNA from 1 species